ensembl:lncRNA
AUCUCAGUUACUUGGUGAAUUCAGUUAGUCCUUACUAAGCCGCAAAAGUAAUAAGUGGACUGUUCGGAAUAUAGAAAAAUUUUCAAGAACUGAAUCAAAAUUUCUAGGCGAAUUCAGUGAGUUCCCAAUGCGACAUGCUUGUAUGAGUGUGCUUUUCAAUAUACAGCAACAUUUUAAGAAACGGAAUCUAAGUAUCAUGGUGUAUUCAGUAGGUUCCCAAUAGGAUUCGCAUGUAAUAGGCUUGUUAUUCAAGAUAGAGCAACAGUUUAACGAACUAAAUCACUGUUUCUCUGAGAAUUCAGUUAGUUCCCAGUAGCAGGCUCAGGUAAUAUGUGUACUUUUAAAGAUUUAUCAAAAUUUGGUGAGCCGAAUCUCAGUAACUUGGUGAAUUCAGUUAGUUCCCAAUAUGCCGCAGUAGUAAUAAGUGGACUGUUCAGGAUAUAGAAAAAUUUUCAUGAAUGGAAUCAAAAUUUCUAGGCGAAUUCAGUGAGUUCCCAAUGGGACAUGCUUGUAUGAGUGUGCUUUUCAAUAUAUAGCAACAUUUUAAGGAACGGAAUCUAAGUAUCAUGGUGAAUUCAGCAGGUACCCAAUAGGAUUCGCAUGUAAUAAGCUUGUUUUCGAUAUAGAGCAACGUUUUAACGAACUGAAACACUGUUUCUUUGUGAAUUCAGUUAGUUCCCAGUAGCAGGCUCUUGUAAUAUGUGUACUUCUAAAGAUAUAUCAAAAUUUGGUGAGCCGAAUCUCAGUAACUUGGUGAAUUCAGUUAGUUCCCAAUAGGCCGCAGUAGUAAUAAGUGGACUGUUCAGGAUAUAGAAAAAUUUUCACGAUUUAAAUCAAAAUUUCUAGGAGAAUUCAGUGAGUUCCCAAUGGGACAUGCUUGUAUGAUUGUGCUUUUCAAUAUAUAGCAACGUUUUAAGGAACGGAGUCUAAGUAUCACGUUGAAUUCAGUAGGUUCCCAAUAGGAUUCUCAUGUAAUAAGCUAGUUAUUCGAGAUAGAGCAACGUUUUAACGAACUGAAACACUGUUUCUUUGUGAAUUCAGUUAGUUCCCAGUAGCAGGCUCUUGUAAUAUGUGUACUUUUAAAGAUUUAUCAAAAUUUGGUGAGCCGAAUCUCAGUAAGUUGGUGAAUUCAGUUAGUUCGCUAUAGGCCGCAAUAGCAAUAAGUUGACUUUCGG